rnacentral:rRNA from 1 species
UGGGGAAUUUUGGACAAUGGGCGCAAGCCUGAUCCAGCAAUGCCGCAUGCAGGAUGAAGGCCUUCGGGUUGUAAACUGCUUUUGUACGGAACGAAAAGCCUCUCUCUAAUACAGGGGGGUGAUGACGGUACCGUAAGAAUAAGCACCGGCUAACUACGUGCCAGCAGCCGCGGUAAUACGUAGGGUGCAAGCGUUAAUCGGAAUUACUGGGCGUAAAGCGUGCAGCAGGCGUUUUGUAAGACAGUGGUGAAAUCCCCGGGCUCAACCUGGGAACUGCCAUUGUGACUGCAAGGCUGGAGUGCGGCAGAGGGGGGAUGGAAUUCCGCGUGUAGCAGUGAAAUGCGUAGAUAUGCGGAGGAACACCGAUGGCGAAGGCAAUCCCCUGGGCCUGCACUGACGCUCAUGCACGAAAGCGUGGGGAGCAAACAGGAUUAGAUCCCUGGUAGUCCACGCCCUAAACGAUGUCAACUGGUUGUUGGGGAUUUAUUUCUUCAGUAACGAAGCUAACGCGUGAAGUUGACCGCCUGGGGGAGUACGGCCGCAAGGUU